UAGAUCUCUUCUUGCUUUAGAGCAUCCAAGGUGUUUGAAGAAGAAGGAAGAAAUUAGCCUCGAAGUUUCUUGCAAGCUAGCACUUCCAAGGAUCUUGAUCUGCACUGAUCUUCACAUGGACUUUUUGUAGAUGCCAGAUGACUUUGUAUGGCUGCAAGCAACCUGAAGGAGAGCCUCUCUAAGUGUUGGACUAGAACAGAUCAAGAGUC
rnacentral:lncRNA from 1 species